rnacentral:lncRNA from 1 species
CCCAGCCGCCGCGUAAGGACCAGCAGCCGGGCCCGGCCGGCGGCGGAGGAGACUUCCCAAGUAAGAAGCGGAAGAGGAGCCGCUGGAACCAAGACACAAUGGAACAGAAGACAGUGAUUCCAGGAAUGCCUACAGUUAUUCCCCCUGGACUUACUCGAGAACAAGAAAGAGCUUAUAUAGGUAAAUAUACGUUCUGCAUCCAAAUGCACUUUGAGAUUGUUACGAUUUAUUCUGAGCAAGAUCUGCAUUUUUUGAAAGUUUGAGAUUGUAGUUAUCUUUUUUGAGAUGAGAUACUUUCACGACUUUGGUAUCAUCUGUCAGUUUUUGCCCAGUGAGUUCUGCAUUUGCAGCUCCUUGUUUUGGUCUGUUCGUAACUGCAGUGUUCUCCAUGAGUAUCAGGAAGGUAGGGUUUCACUUAGGAGUAAGAACAGUCCCCAGUCCAGCAGCCACCCUUUUCAGCUGCUGUUCAUUGCCAGUUGAUGAGGUGAGUGUCAUCUGCCUCUCUGGACAGGCCCCAGUGGAGAACACCGCAGGUACUGUAAACCAAGUACUUUUCACAGCGUGGCCUUUCACCAUAAUUUUAUAUUUCUCCCCCUAAAAUGUGGUCUUUUACUUUUUAUAGGUACUUUCUG